rnacentral:rRNA from 1 species
AGCGAACGCUGGCGGCAGGCUUAACACAUGCAAGUCGAACGCCCCGCAAGGGGAGUGGCAGAUGGGUGAGUAACACGUGGGAACGUACCCUUUGGUUCGGAAUAACUUGGGGAAACUCAAGCUAAUACCGGAUAAGCCCUUAUGGGGAAAGGUUUACUGCCGAAGGAUCGGCCCGCGUCUGAUUAGCUAGUUGGUGAGGUAAUGGCUCACCAAGGCGACGAUCAGUAGCUGGUCUGAGAGGAUGAUCAGCCACACUGGGACUGAGACACGGCCCAGACUCCUACGGGAGGCAGCAGUGGGGAAUAUUGGACAAUGGGGGCAACCCUGAUCCAGCCAUGCCGCGUGAGUGAUGAAGGCCUUAGGGUUGUAAAGCUCUUUUACCCGGGACGAUAAUGACUGUACCGGGAGAAUAAGCCCCGGCUAACUUCGUGCCAGCAGCCGCGGUA